rnacentral:lncRNA from 1 species
GCUACUUUCAAUUAUGGACAGUACAUUAAUCCAUCCAUUAGACGUAACAUCUGGUAAGGUGAACUCUAUGCUUUCUCAUAGUGGCGAACAGCCACCACAUCACCAAAGGUAAGAGUCAUUACCAUUCUGCCAUCCUUUAUUUCUCUUACAAAGUUUGUCUCUUUGCCAUCCCAUUUCUGUACAUGAACUAGCUUGUCUCCAUCCAGGGUCACAACUGAUUUGCAGUUCCUGUCGUCGGGGGUGGUUUCAUCAAAUUCCUCGCCGAGUUUAAAGCUGAUUUCUGUGUUUUUGAAAGUGCUCUGAGUCCUGAUCACGACUUUGUCCCCCUCGCUGCUGAUGAUCACUGUGGGCUUAGUCACGUUCCCCACCUGCCGCAUCGCAAACCCCACUCCCAGCGCCUUCAUGUAUUCGUCAAAGUUGUGGCUGUCCGCCAGCUUCCACGUCGCGCAGAAAGCCUCAACCAUGGCAGCGGGUGCCGGAGUACGGGGAAACGCCACAGCCGCCUCACCGCCCCGCAUUUAAAGCCCGCGCCCUGCGGG